rnacentral:rRNA from 1 species
ACUCCUACGGGAGGCAGCAGUGGGGAAUAUUGCACAAUGGGGGAAACCCUGAUGCAGCCAUGCCGCGUGUGUGAAGAAGGCCUUCGGGUUGUAAAGCACUUUCAGUAGGGAGGAAGGUAGUGUAGUUAACACCUGCACUAUUUGACGUUACCUACAGAAGAAGCACCGGCUAACUCCGUGCCAGCAGCCGCGGUAAUACGGAGGGUGCGAGCGUUAAUCGGAAUUACUGGGCGUAAAGCGCAUGCAGGCGGCCUGUUAAGUCAGAUGUGAAAGCCCGGGGCUUAACUCGGAAUUGCAUUUGAAACUGGCAGGCUAGAGUCUUGUAGAGGGGGUAGAAUUUCAGGUGUAGCGGUGAAAUGCGUAGAGAUCUGAAGGAAUACCAGUGGCGAAGGCGGCCCCCUGGACAAAGACUGACGCUCAGAUGCG